ensembl:snRNA U6 U6 spliceosomal RNA
AUGUUGUUUUAGCAGUAUAUACAAUAAAAUUGGAAUGUUACAGAAAUUGGCAUGGCUCAAGGAUGACAUGCGACUUUGUGAAACAUCCAUAUUUUUA